UACGUAGGGUGCAAGCGUUAUCCGGAAUUAUUGGGCGUAAAGAGCUCGUAGGCGGUUUGUCGCGUCUGCCGUGAAAGUCCGGGGCUCAACUCCGGAUCUGCGGUGGAUACGGGCAGACUAGAGUGAUGUAGGGGAGACUGGAAUUCCUGGUGUAGCGGUGAAAUGCGCAGAUAUCAGGAGGAACACCGAUGGCGAAGGCAGGUCUCUGGGCAUUAACUGACGCUGAGGAGCGAAAGCAUGGGGAGCGAACAGG
rnacentral:rRNA from 1 species